rnacentral:rRNA from 1 species
UGGCCUAUCUUGUUGGUCUGUAGGACCGGAGUAAUGAUUAAGAGGGACAGUCGGGGGCAUUCGUAUUUCAUUGUCAGACGUGAAAUUCUUGGAUUUAUGAAAGAAAACUACUCCUCAACCAUUUGCCAAUAAUAUUUUAAUUUAUCGAUCACGGAAAUACCUGCCUCGAAAACAAUUCC